GAUGAACGCUGGCGGCGUGCUUAACACAUGCAAGUCGAACGGUCAAACCGCCCUCGGGCGGACAUAAAGUGGCGAACGGGUGAGUAACACGUGACCAACCUGCCCCGCGCACCGGGACAGCCCCCCGAAAGGGGGAUUAAUACCGGAUACUCCGGGGAGGGCGCAUGCCCUCCCCGGGAAAGCUCCGGCGGCGCGGGAUGGGGUCGCGGCCCAUCAGGUAGUGGGUCGGGUAGAGGCCGGCCCAGCCGACGACGGGUAGCCGGGUUGAGAGACCGACCGGCCACAUUGGGACUGAGAUACGGCCCAGACUCCUACGGGAGGCAGCAGUGGGGAAUAUUGCGCAAUGGGGGCAACCCUGACGCAGCAACGCCGCGUGCGGGAAGAAGGCGUCCGCGUCGUAAACCGCUUUCAGCAGGGAAGACAUCGACGGUACCUGCAGAAGAAGCCCCGGCUAACUACGUGCCAGCAGCCGCAGUAAAAC
rnacentral:rRNA from 1 species